rnacentral:rRNA from 1 species
GAUGAACGCUGGCGGCGUGCCUUAGGCAUGCAAGUCGAACGGGAAGUCUUCGGACUUCUAGUGGCGGAAGGGUGAGUAACGCGUGGGAACGUACCUAUUGGUGGAGAAUAGCUCGCCGAAAGGCGGGAUAAUUCUGCAUAAGACCGCAAGGUGAAAGGGCUUAACCGCCCGCCGAUAGAGCGGCCUGCGUCCUAUCAGCUUGUUGGUGAGGUAAAGGCUUACCAAGGCGAUGACGGGUAGCUGGGCUGAGAGGUCGGACAGCCACAAUGGAACUGAGACACGGCCCAGACUCCUACGGGAGGUAGCAGUGGGGAAUAUUGGACAAUGGGGGGAACCCUGAUCCAGCCAUGCCGCGUGUGUGAAGAAGGCCUUAUGGUUGUAAAGCACUUUAAGCGAGGAGGAGGCUACUGAGACUAAUACUCUUGGAUAGUGGACGUUACUCGCAGAAUAAGCACCGGCUAACUCUGUGCCAGCAGCCGCAGUAA